AGGAAAGCCAUCGGGGUGGCCCCCAGCUGCUCACCACGUACCCUGAGCCUCUGUGCAAGACCCGGCCUUCGAAACUCCCUGAAGAGUGUUCCACAUCUCAGAUGGCAGCCCUGAGCAGAGAUCGUGGGAGGGGCCCUGCCAGAGAUCCUGUGCAUUCAGGCACCGGCCCAGCACACCUCCCUUACUAGGGUUUCGGGCUGACGGGGACAAUCCCAUAGCUGUAACAGACUGCGGAGGACAGCCCUGGACUGCAGGGAACGCCCGGAACCGAGGGCCCCCGGGAGACACCACUGUCCCCGUUGCUCGGCUGGCUCAGGCACCUGCAAGGCACCGGGUUCGGCUCAUUGGUGAGUCCUGUUUUCUCCACCGGGAUGUGGACCAAGACAACUAACUCCCUUCCUAGGAGAGGUUCCCUGGCUCCACAGGAGCGCUGACCGCAGGUUCCAGCCGGCUCUGUCACAACCAACCUCACUUCUUCAACAAACAACCACCAGCAGCCACCGGCUCCAGGCCCGGCCCACAGACGGGCAUUCAGAGGUGCGGCUCCCGUGGGUGGGGGGUCGGGGGGCAAGCCAGCUGCAUCUGCCACGGAGGCCCAGCUCGGGUGCAGGAGGAGCCCUCCCUGGGCCCCAGGCCGUCACCUGGCAACAGGUACAGUAACUCUCGUCACCUGCCUCUGCACACCCAAGCGGGAUCAGGCUGCUCACGGCAGGGCGCAGAAGCACAGGCCGGCACCAAUGCUGAACCACCAGACGUUUGGCCGCGCAGGAGGGCCCCCACCCCGUCCCUUUGGUCUGUCUGCUCUGUCACCCAGGCUGCGGCACAGGCCCGGGGUGGGCUCAGGAGACAGGCAGCGCGGGGCGGCCAGGGGCGCAGAACCAGAGUCCAACAGGACGCCCAGCUUCAGAUUACCAGCGAGUCUGUCCUGACUGUCGCCAGCCAAACCGGAUUCUGACAAACGGCAUCGACUCCAGCUGCCCUGAGCCGCACACCUAGUUCCACUUGCACACACACGGCAGUCAGGACGGAUCCACUGACCACGCACACAGCGUGUAAGUUAAUUUCUUCAUCUGUACUAUGAAAACAUAAGAGGCCCUGUCCCGGGCUCACUGUGGAAAUGAACUGAGCUAUGGAGCCUAAACAGCUGAGGACCAGAGCCUGGCCCCCAGAGCACCACGUGAGCACGGCAGGGCCCAGGGUGUGCUUGGUCCAGUACGAGUCUUCUCUCCCCAACCGGAAGGUAACCGAAAGGUAAGCCGGCCUCCUUGCCUCUAGCUUCCCCUCGUCUUGAACACACGCCCAGCCAUGACUGCAUUUCUCACCAUGCACUCUUUGCUGCUCUGUGUCACCAGUCCACUCUCUCACUGCAGCCUGCUGGGCGCCCACACCACUCCAGACUCUGGGCUAGGCACCCAAGAUGCAAGGGUGACCAAGACAGAGGUCCCUAUGCCCCAGGGGCUCUCAGCCACGUGUGCGAGAUAAACACACACACACACACAGACGGAUCACUUCAGUGCAGCAGAGAAGGCAAGCUAAGCACCGGGGCCCUGGGCCACGAGCCUGUGGGUGAACCUCAUCCAGGGGAGGCAGGGGACAGGAAGGUUCCAAAGGGGAUAUCAGGAACACUAGGGCAUUCCAAGCAGAGGACCUAACUGUCAUGUUGGUGAAAAAAAGACGUGGGAUGCAGGAAACAAAGCAUCCGAACUGGCUGGGUACCUGAAGCAGGCCGUGGAAGAUGUGACUGGAGGGACAGGCAGCAGCCACACCCCGACCUUCACCCUGCAGACUGCAGGGAGCUGGAGAAGGGGCUUAAGGACGCCUGCCGGCCUGUGAGCCAGCAGACAGCAGCUCCUGUGGCCAGGCACCCAUCUCACCCACACAGGGAAGUCAUCUGGACACAGGGCAGCCAGGCCAACGGAGGACAGAUGUGGAGGUGGCCUGGCUGAAGCACCACUCUUCCAGGAAGCCUUCUCGGAUCUGCCCAUCUCCCACAGCCGCCUGCAAUGGCGACUUGGCUCCUGAUCCCGUGCUGUCCUGGGCAGGCAUUUGCUGCACCAGAUUUCUACCGAGGACCCAGCACAGGAGAGGCUGAACCUCACCAGAGUACCCUCUUAAACAGACUCGACACUGCAAGACUGACGAGCGUCACCUGUGUCUUUCACCCAAACUCGGUGCCCCUGCUAGGGUAGAGUGGAGAACCCCCAUCCCUGCCUCCCAGGGACGGCACACACACGUGGCAGUGACAGAACAGAAGAAGCCAGAAAGGCAGGGAGGCAAACCCUGGCGGGAGGGGUAGUCAGGAGAGCCGCCCAGCCCCCAGAACUAGGAGCAGGGCCGAGGCGGGCAGCGGAGGGAGGGGGCCAGGUGAGGCUGCGACGGCAGAGGCCUAUCUCGUCCAGCGGCCAGGCCCGCAGAACUUUCUGCGACGGGGCAGCGUUCCAUACCUGUGCCACGCGUGGCUGCUGCCACCACGCCGGACGGCGCACACGGAGCCCCGGG